UCCAAAGCUUUUCCUUCUGGUUGUCAUGGCAACAGCAGCAAGCGCUCUGGAAGUGGGAAGGAGGACAAGGAGGAGAGAGGAGCAACCAGAAGUAUGGUGGCUGUUAGUCUGCAGAAAAUAAUUCAAGACAGAUAUUUGCAAGCUGCAUGGAGCACACGCCCUGUACAUCCAGAUGUCAAUGUGAUCUUUCACAAGCACACUGAAAAAUUCACACCGUGGAAAAGAACUAAAGUCCCAUCCUAAUUCAUCAGAGCCUUCUGUUUCCUGUAACAAAGAAGAACUCACAAGAUCAGGAUUCCAAGUUGCUGUCUCCUUGAUCUGGAAGCUUGUCCCUCCUUGUAACACCUGGCAGGCAUUGUCUCUUCUGGAAAGACUUUACGCCACUGCCCUCUUUUGCUGCCCUUUGAGUUGGGUUGUCUUUCUCUGCCUUCAUUUGCACACUGUGCUUACCUCUGGCACAGCACUUCUCAGUAUAUUUCCAUUGUAUUCCCCUGUCUAUGUCCCCCCUGAACUGUGAGCUCCUUGAGGGAUGGAAAGAUGUCAAAAGGCUGACAAACUCAGUGUCUCGAACAUAUGAGGUGCUCAACGUUGAAAGAAUGGGCAAAUGAAAAAGAACUGUAACAUUGUAUGACAUUUGAAGAAGACAUUGCUGGCCCGGCGCAGUGGCUCACGCCUGUAAUCCCAGCACUUUGGGAAGCUGAGGCAGGUGGAUCACUUGAGGUCAGGAGUUCGAGACUAGCCUGGCCAACAUAGCAAAAACCCCUGUCUACUAAAAAUACAGAAAAUUAUUGCUUGAACCUGGGAGGCAGAGGUUGCAGUGAGCCAAGGUCACUGCACUCCAGUCUGGGCAACAGAAUGGAAGGAGUAAGAAAGAGGAGGAGGAGGAGGAGGAAGGAGAAGAAGGAGGAGGAAAGGGGAAAGGAGGAGGGAGGGGGGAGGCGGAGGGGGAGAAAGGGGAGGAAGAAAUUGCUUAGUUCCUAAAACACCAUGAUGUUGCCCUCACAAUGACUUUUGUAAAGGCCAAACACAUUGACACCAAUUUCUGUGUUCCAGCAACUGCAACUGAACUCCUCUGUUCUGAUAAAUUAUAUUGCCCCAGCUUCCUCAUUUUAUAUUGCUGACCAUGUAUCUUCUCCUGAAGACCAAAUACGAAGAAAUACACAAGGUGGUAGUAAUAAUUUUUAAUGGAAUUUGAGGAAAGCUAGAAUCUCUUUUAAUAUUGUACUGUUUUUGGCUGGAUUCGGUGGCUCAAGCCUGUAAUCCCAGCACUUUGGGAGGCCGAGGUGGGUGGAUCACAAGGUCAGAGUUCAAGACCAGUGUGGCCAAGAUGGUGAAACCCCAUCUCUACUAAAAGUACAAAAAUUACAGCACGCCUGUAAUCCCAGCUACUUGGGAGGCUGAGGCAGGAGAAUCACUUGAACCUGGGGGGCAGAGGUUGCAGUGAGCCAAGAUUGUGCCACUGCACUCCAGCCUGGGUGACAGAGCGAGACUCCAUCUUGAAAAAAAAUUUAAAAAAAUUUAAAAUAUAUAUAUAUAUAGUACUGUUUUUAUUGCUAAUUUGACCUUUAAAUAACACUUUAAAAUUGCAAUGUUUCCAGAUUUGAGGUCUCUGGGCAUCUAGCAGUUACUAGCAGUCUCCAAAUUGGUACAUCUAUAUGUCUAUCUAUAGAUCCUGGCACAGAUACUGCCUGCUUUAUACAAAGUACUGUGCCAGGAGUUCCUACUGUCACAGGCUUUGCUCUUUAAUGGGGAAAUGUCACAAAUGCUACACUAGAAUUCUCAGCAGCUCUGACCUACUUGACUGCCUCCUCCUCUUGUCUCCUAUGCCUUCUAAGAUGUUGGUCUCUGCCAGUUCUCCUGGCUGUUCUCUGGACACCUCUUUUUACUUUCCUUUUCUGGCUCCUCUUUGAUCAAUUCAUUUAUGUUAGUGCUCUGUAGGGUCUGUGCUGGUGUCUCUUAUCUUCUCACUUUCCAGCUGUACUUGGUGGGUGUGUGCCCUUUAUGUCCAUAGCCUUGGCACCUAUUUAUUCCCAGCUCAAUCACUAGUCUCCAGCUCUCUCAUUAACUCUAGGCAGAGAUUUCCAACUGCCAGUGGGGCUUGUCCACUUGAAUGUCGUGCAGGCAUCUUAAACACAGCAUGUCAUUAUCCUGUCUUUAUCUUUCCUCCUGUUCUUCUAUUCCCUACUGUGGUUAAUGGCACCUUUGUUUCCUCAGCUGCAUGGACUAGUGACUUCUAAAUCAUUCUUUUAUUUAUUUAUUUAUAUUUAUUUAUUUGAGACAGGGUCUCACUCUGCCACCCAGGCUAGAGUGCAGUGGCUUGGUCAUUGUGCACCACAGCAUCAAUGUCCUGGGCUCAGGUAAUCCUCCCACCUCAGCCUCCUGUGUAGCUGGGACUCCAGGCACGUGCCACUAAGCCUGGCUACUUUUUUGCUUUUUUUUUUUUUUUUUUUUGUAGAAAUGAGGUUUAAGCCAUGUUUCCCAGGUUGGUCUUGAACUCCUGGGCUCAAAGGACCCACCCACCACAGCCUCCCAAAGUGUUAGGAUUAUAGGCGUGAGCCACCACACCCAGCUCCAAGUCAUUCUUAAUGCCUUCUUUCCCUACAUAAUCUUCCUUCCAAACAAUAACCAAGCUUUGUUGAUUUAAUCUCUCAGUUCUUUCUUGAACCCAUUCUGUUCCCUCUUUUUCAGUCAUCAAGAUGUUAUCACUUCUCACCUAGAUUAGUGAAAUAGCGUUCCUGUUGAUUUCUUGGCCUCCAGUCCUUCCCCACUACUACUCUUCCUUCAGACUGCUUCCAGAACGUCUUUCUAAAGCCCAAACUUGAUCUUCUCAAUCAUUUACUUAAAAUUCUUCAACAAAUCCUUCUGUCUACACAGUUCAAAGCCCAUAGCAAGAUCUAUGAAGCUCUGUGUGACUUACCUUUUAGCCCACUUAUGUUUUCAGCCUCCUCUGCUGACACUCUCCCCACAUACCCAAAGAUCCCCACAUACCAAACCACUCAGCAUUUCCUCACACACCAUUCUGGCUCCUCUUUCAGGGGCUUUCCAGCUACUUUGGAAAUCCAGCCUAGGAAACUCCUGUUAUUGUCAAGAUCCACUCAAAUAUAACUUCUUUUGUGAAGACUUCACCUCCAACCACUCAGGGCAUAUUUCUAUUAUAGCACCUCUCAUGUUAGAUAAUAAUUUUUUUUUUCUUUUAGAGACCAGGUCUUGCUCUGUCAGGCUAGAAUGCAGUGGCACAAUCAUAGCGUACCGUGACUUCCAACUCCUGUCCUCAAAUAAUCCUCCCUCCUUGACCUCCCAAAGUGCUGGAAUUACAUGUGGAAGGCACUGUGCUCAGGCUAUAAUUAUGUUUUUUAUGGCUCCUCCCCUCCUAGACUGAGCUACAGAAACCAUGUCUCACUCUAUUUUGUAUCCUGGCCCUUGACACAAUAUUUAGCACAUAUCAAGCCUUGCAUCAGUGUUCAAGGAGUAACCAAAUAAUUGAAUGAAUAAAUAACCGACUGUGAUACAAGUUAGAAUAAGAGCAGUAGGCAAGGUGCAAAUAAACUGCUGCUGUAGGGCGUUCAGAGGACUGGGUCACAUUUCUUUGAGCAACCAAAAAAGACUUUGUAUAAUUGAUUGCCAUCUCUCCACUUAGCCCUAUAUAUUUGUUUAUGACUUAACACAAAGUCGGUUCAUUCCAUCCCAGAUAUAGCCCACUUCUUCUCCAGCCUCCACCCAAAUACUGAAACUAGUUUUCUCUUUUCUGUCUCCUGUGUAAUAGCAGAUCUUUAGUUCAUUUUAGCUUUGCAUAUAAUUUUUAUAAUCAUUUACCUAUUUAUAAAGGGAGGUCCCUUCUUUAUUCUAAAAAGGAUUUAAGUGCCUGCCUCAUAAACUGAUUGUGUGUUUUUAUUAUAGCUUCUUGUAUAGAAGAUACCUAAAAAGUGUUUGCUGAAUUAAGAAAUAAAGGAUUGCUCAGGCACCACUGGCACUUUAAGUUGUUCAGCAAGUACUCGUGCCUCUUAAGAACUGGCCAAGGGCCGGGCGUGGUGGUUCAUGCCUGUAAUCCCAGCAUUUUGGGACGCCGAGGCGGGCAGAUCACGAAGUCAGGAGUUCAAGACCAGCGUGGCCAACAUGGUGAAACCCCAUCUCUACUAAAAAUACAAAAACUUAGCCAGGCGUGGUGGCCUGCGCCUGUAGUCCCAGCUACUCGGGAGGCUGAGGCACAAGAAUUGCUUGAACCCACGAGGAGGAGCUUGCAGUAAGCCGAGAUCGCGCCAUUGCACUCCAGCCUGGGCAACAGGGCAAGACUCUGUCCUGAAAGAAAAAAAAAAAAAAAAAAAAGAACUGGCCGAGGUCUUAGCUGGAGCACUCUCUCUACCCUGCAUGUUUGACUGCAUUUCUGUCCAUUUUCAAUCCGUUUUGGUUAUACGUUUUUUCACACAGGUCUGUUGAACUUAGAACACCGAAGGCCUGUGUAUUUUCAUGGCUCACAGCUCAUGUUGUGUUGACCUGCCCCACUGCGGUUAAUGUUUAGCCCCUAAACCACCAGCUGAAUGUCCUUAAAUCUGAAAGAAUAAUGAACACACGCCAACAGAUAGCUUAGGUUUAUUUGGUGACUUGUGCCACAUACUUUGCGAAUAUCAUCUCAGUCAUCCUUUUAGCAUCUCUCUCAGGCACAUACUCUCCUCUGUGGUGGCUCAUGCCGGUAAUCCCAGCCCUUUGGGAGGCCGAGGCGGGCAGAUCACUUGAGGCAAGGAGUUCAAGACCAGCCUGGCCAACACGGUGAAACCCCAUCUCUACUAAAAAUACAAAAAUUAGCCGGCUAUGGUGGCAUGCGCCUGUAAUCCCAGCUGCUCGAGAGGCUGAGGCAGGAGAAUCAUUUGAACCCAGGAGGCAGAGGUUGCAGUGAGCCUAGACUGCACCAUUGCACUUCAGCCUGGGUGAGACCCCAUCUCAAAUAUAUAAAUAAAUAAAUAAAUAAGGGAAAAGCUAUCACACAGCAGAAUACAGUCCAAGGGUAACUACUGAAGGGCCAGAUCAAGGAGCAAAGUCUAUCAUGUAUCAACCUUUACAGUGUCCCCAAGGGUCAGCUGUGUAUAGGGGCCCACACAGAAUUUGGAAUCCAAAUACAUCUCUGGAUCCCCAGGCCUGUGUUUGACUCGCCAGGUAGUAAUGAGAUGUCUCCAUUUUCUGCAGGCUGAAUGAUUCCCUCAGAGCAGAAGUAUAAGCAUAUUUAUUGUUUUUCCUUCUAUCAUAAACAGUUAUUGGUUGUGGCCCUUUCUCCCUUCCAAAUAGGUGCCCAAAUUUCUGGAAGUGAAAAGGGCCCAACUUUCCCAUAUCAGGGAGUGGGCCCCACUGGGCGUGAGCCAAUCAGUGUCUUCUGUCCUGUGAGCUCCCGAUUUAUGCUGGUCUAUAACCUGAGAUGGCCUUCUCAGGAUGGACCUCCGGGGAUUGCUGGAACUUGGACUCUUGUCAGCCUGGUAAAUGGUAUGUCUUAGAUCUGCUGCAGCCGUCGUGGAAAGCUUGAAGCUGCCAGGAGAGAGGGGUUCCAACAUGUGGUGGCUAAAGAAUGAAUCCAACUCAAAGGAAGCAGAGCCAAGAAAUGGAUCCAUGCUGUUUGAAUCUUAGAUCAAAUUGUGCCUGGAUCUCCAGUGAGACAAUAAAUUCCUGUAUUA